rnacentral:misc_RNA from 1 species
AGCAGCCGCGGUAAUUCCAGCUCCAAUAGCGUAUAUUAAAGUUGUUGCAGUUAAAAAGCUCGUAGUUGAAUUUCGGGAUCAAUACGUCGGUCGUGCUUCGGUACGUACUGGUGUCAUUGAUUUCUCCCUUCUGACGAACCAUGAUGUCAUUAACUUGGUGUCAUGGGAAAUCAGGACUGUUACUUUGAAAAAUUAGAGUGUUUAAAGCAGGCUCACGCUUGAAUACAUUAGCAUGGAAUAAUGAAAUAGGACGUUCGAUCCUAUUUUGUUGGUUUCUAGGA